rnacentral:rRNA from 1 species
GAUGAACGCUGACAGCAUGCUUAACACAUGCAAGUCAACUUGAAAUUCGGUUUGGGUGGCGGACGGGUGAGUAACGCGUAAAGAACUUGCCCCAUAGCUAGGGACCACAAAUGGAAACGAAUGCUAAUAACUGCUAUUAUGAUUUUAGGGCAGCCUAGAAUUAUGAAAGCUAUAUGCGCGGUGAGAGAGCCUUGCGUCCCAUUAGCUAGUUGGAGAGGUAACGGCUCACCAAGGCGAGGAUGGGUAGCCGGCCUGAGAGGGUGAACGGCCACAAGGGGACAGAGACACGGCCCUUACACCUACGGGAGGCAGCAGUGGGGAAAAUUGGACAAUGGACCAAGAGUCUGAUCCAGCAAUUCUGUGUGCACGAUGAAGUUUUUCGGAAUGUAAAAUGCUUUCAGUUGGGAAGAAAAAAAUGACGGUACCAACAGAAGAAGUGACGGCUAAAUACGUG